UGGGGAAUAUUGGGCAAUGGGCGCAAGCCUGACCCAGCGACGCCGCGUGGGUGAUGAAGGCCUUCGGGUUGUAAAGCCCUGUCAUGUGGAAAGAACAGUCCCGUGGUGAAUAUCCACGGGAUUUGACGGUACCACAGGAGGAAGCACCGGCUAACUCCGUGCCAGCAGCCGCGGUAAUACGGAGGGUGCAAGCGUUGUUCGGAAUUAUUGGGCGUAAAGGGCGCGUAGGUGGUUGUGAAAGUCAGAUGUGAAAUACUUCGGCUCAACUGAAGAACUGCAUCUGAAACUUCAUAACUCGAGUACAGGAGAGGGAAACGGAAUUCCCGGUGUAGAGGUGAAAUUCGUAGAUAUCGGGAGGAACACCAGUGGCGAAGGCGGUUUCCUGGCCUGAUACUGACGCUGAGGCGCGAAAGCGUGGGGAGCAAACA
rnacentral:rRNA from 1 species